rnacentral:rRNA from 1 species
GACGAACGCUGGCGGCGUGCUUAACACAUGCAAGUCGAACGGCAGCACGGGAGCAAUCCUGGUGGCGAGUGGCGAACGGGUGAGUAAUAUAUCGGAACGUGCCCAGUAGUGGGGGAUAGCCCGGCGAAAGCCGGAUUAAUACCGCAUACGACCUGAGGGUGAAAGCGGGGGAUCGCAAGACCUCGCGCUAUUGGAGCGGCCGAUAUCAGAUUAGCUAGUUGGUGGGGUAAAGGCCUACCAAGGCUACGAUCUGUAGUUGGUCUGAGAGGACGACCAGCCACACUGGGACUGAGACACGGCCCAGACUCCUACGGGAGGCAGCAGUGGGGAAUUUUGGACAAUGGGCGCAAGCCUGAUCCAGCAAUGCCGCGUGCAGGAAGAAGGCCUCGGUUGUAAACUGCUUUGUCUAGGAAGAAAGUACUUCUGGGCUAAUAACCCCGGGACGGAUGACGGUACCUGAAGAAUAAGACACCGGCUAACUACGUGCCAGCAGCCGCGGUAAA